CCUCCCUCCCCUCCUCCCGCUUCCCUCUCUCUCUGCUCCACUCCUCACUAGCUCUCUCCCUCUCCUCGGGCGGAAUCGCCCACCGCUGCCAGCCCCGUGCUGGGGGGACCCGUGCCAGGCUGCAGCCGCAGAGGCGCUGGCUCUCAGCCUGUGGGCGAAGUUGGGGGCCGACUGCGGGUUAGACUCCCAGAGCAACUCUGCAGACGGAAUGAAGUUACCAGGAGGCCUGAGGCUGGCAGCCAGGGGUCUGAGAGGGAGGAGGCCUCGGUGACACCCGCCUCCCAAUCCACAGCCCUAGUUUAUAGGUGACGGUUACCAUGGCAACAUGAGGGCGGGGCCCAGGAGCUCCAACCUGGGGUCCCUCCUGGAGAGCAAACCUGGGAGCCAUAGCACUGGAGCUGGGUGACUUUGGGUCCGUUUUUUACCCUCUCUGAGCCUGGUCCUCUCCCCCACAGGGAGACACUUUGGAUGGGACAGUCAGGGAAGGAGUGGGUGUGUGGGAAGGAAGGA
rnacentral:lncRNA from 1 species